rnacentral:lncRNA from 1 species
AUGGCCGCGAGGAUGAGGAGGCCGGUGAAUGUCCUCGUUCACAGUGAGGGUCCUGCAUUUCCAGCACAUAAUACCGAGUACAGUACACGGAGCAGAGAAGCAAGGGGACCAGCAGGGGCUGAGCAGAAAAACAGACUAAAUGUUUUAACAGCUGCUCUUUUUUUCUUUACCUCUUUGGCCCAAGGAUCUGAUUUCCUUCUGAAGGGGUGGGCUUUCUAUGGGCCGCGGACUCUGCUCAGCAGGCCUGUUUACUCUGAGAAGCCGAGUUCUGGUUCCCUCUUCGACAAGAGCUUGCUUUUGAGGAGAAAAAAGGAGUGGUUAAAAAAAGAGUUCUUCGAUGAUGCAGAGGGUAUGUUAAUUGAGAAGGAUUAGAAAAAUAAUGCAGUUGCGAAAACUUGGAGGCAAAUAACAUACAGAGAAGCAGUAAAACAAAUGGCAAGGGUGCUUUCUAUAAGCCAAACCUCUGGGGCUGCCAAUAUCAGAUAAAGGGCAAAAACUCUAUUUGAAAAGAGCAGUUAUUUAUUUUCUUUGCUGAAACUUCCUUCGUUUUGCUAUAGAGUAUUUCACCACACAAAACAUUUGAUGAUAGAUGUUGUCUUUCUCUUUGGCUCACUGCAUAAUGGCCAUUCAUUUAAACAUGUACUUGCACUGGUAACACAUAGGGUGGUUUAUUUCAUGAGAAGCGUAUAUUAUCAUUGUGUGAAAUUUGAAUAAUCAAAUGUAAAUCAUAAUUGCAGCCACUACUCAAUUAUUCCAGCGAAUGUUGGAAAACCAGACAAAAGUUACCUCCUACUGCAUCCUUGUCAGACUUUAUUUCAGUUUGUAUUUACUGAAUCCAUUUAUUUCUGCAGCACCUCAGCUCACUCUCACCAGCUGCAGGUCAGGCUGCUAAAUUCUUCACUGUUUCAUACUCAUCCCACGUCUCUUCUCUACUUACCCCUCAUCCCUUUCCUCUUGAGUUUCUAAGCUUCUAGCCUUCUGAGCAUUACCACUCUAGGCUCAGUUUUGCAAAGAAGCCUCCUCCUUAUUAUCCUCCGGCCACUCCCAGUUCUAAAACAUUGUAUCCCUAUAUUCUGCACCAUCAGCAUUUAUGUUAGAUUUCAUUCUCUCUCAAAUUGUCCUGUAUUUGGCUUCAUGCAUCAUAUUUCCUCAACUAGACUGCAAACACCUUGUCAAAAGAAACAAUAUUCAGAUUUCUAUCUGAAAAGUUGAAAAGUCCUUUAGCAUGGUACAGUUUCUUAGUUCCCUAGAAGUUGUGUCAGUUUUGACACUGAAAGUCCUAUGUCCCAGACAACUCUUUCAUCUCAGCUGGGCUGGUUGGUAACCCUAUCCACUAAGCGUAAAUGAAAGAUUCAGUAAAAACAAAAAGCAAAAAACCUGUGACUGACUGUAGAAACAUUAAAUAAUUAUAAUGUUUUCAAUAUUUUUAUACUUUAAAUGGAAAAACUAAAUGUCAUCAUCA